CCGUAGGUGAACCUGCGGAAGGAUCAUUAAUGAAUACAGAUGCCUGUCGAGCUUGCUCACGGGCUUUCUAUCAUAUCCAUAACACCUGUGCACUUGUUGGAUGUCUAGAGACGUAAAGUCGACAGUCAUCCACUUACACUAAACAAUAAUGUAACAAAUGUAGUCUUAUUAUAACAAAAUAAAACUUUCAACAACGGAUCUCUUGGCUCUCGCAUCGAUGAAGAACGCAGCGAAAUGCGAUAAGUAAUGUGAAUUGCAGAAUUCAGUGAAUCAUCGAAUCUUUGAACGCACCUUGCGCUCUUUGGUAUUCCGAAGAGCAUGCCUGUUUGAGUGUCAUGAAAAUAUCAACCUUGACUUGGGUUUUGUGCUCUAGUCUUGGCUUGGAAUUGGGUGCUUGCCGCUUUUACGAGCGGCUCACCUUAAAUGUAUUAGCUGGAUCUGUCUUUGAGACUUGGUUUGACUUGGCGUAAUAAGUAUUUCGCUAAGGACAUUCUUCGGAGUGGCCUCGUUUCUAGGACGCUUGUCCGCUUCCCAAUACAAGUUCCACCUCGUGGACAUGACUUUUUAUUAUCUGGCCUCAAAUCAGGUAGGACUACCCGCUGAACUUAAGCAUAUCAAUAAGCGGAGGA
rnacentral:rRNA from 1 species